rnacentral:rRNA from 1 species
CAGCUGUAAACGAUGCAGACUAGGUGUUUGGACGGCCACAUGCCGUUCUAGUGCCGCAGGGAAGCUGUUAAGUCUGCCGCCUGGGGAGUACGAUCGCAAGAUUGAAACUUAAAGGAAUUGGCGGGGGAGCACCACAACGGGUGGAGCCUGCGGUUUAAUUGGACUCAACGCCGGGAAGCUCACCGGAUAAGACAGCGGAAUGAUUGCCGGGCUGAAGACUCUGCAUGACUAGCUGAGAGGAGGUGCAUGGCGUAGACGUCU